UUUCAUCUAUUGUUGUCACAGCUAGCUAAGAUUUGACGGGUUUGUUUAUGAGAUUUCAGAAAGAGCUUCAGUAUUCUAUAUUAUGCUGAUGCAAAGCAAAAAUUUGUUUUUAAUCUUUGUUAAAGCGACAAAAUUUCCUUGGAUCAUUGGUCUGCUCACAAUGUAAGGUUAUAAAACGUUAUUCUUUACCUUCUGUGUAAUCUGCCUAGAUAGCAAAGAUUCUGUGUCUUAACAGAAUAAGCUUUUAUGGUUUAUGUUGAUUUUAUUAUAUCCUUGAUGAUUUAAGAAGACAAAGGCUUCUCAUUUAGAAAAGAGCUAAGAUUCUUUACAAUCAUGCUACCUUCUAGGUUUAUUUUUAAAUGUUUUAUUGUCACUUUGAAAUGAGAAGUAAAACAUUAUCUCUCAGACACCCAUGAUCCAAUUCCUAUCUUAGGUGUUCAAAUCUAACAGCUUUUGAUUUUUGCCUUUACAAAAUUGACUCCUAAGAGAUGUCAUUUGCACCAAAAUGUGUUUUUGAGAUUUCCUAGGGGGACCCUAGAAAAUCACAAAGGAUUUGUUAUUUUACUUUAUAAAAAGAGAGAAACUAGAAAUAAUGAGGUUUAUGUGAUGUUACCACUGAUGAAUUUCAAAGCAUUGCCAAGUCAGAAGGGAUGCAGAUGCUUAACCUUUUCUAGGAUAAAUCUGUGUGGGUAACAUUAUUAAUACAAAUAUUUCAGAAUCAUAUGCUGUAUGGGAAGUUCCUGGAUACUUGUCGGUCCUCUCGCUGUCUGUGAUACAGUCCUGGUGCUGCUUUGCCUGAUGUCAAACAACAACAGUAUAGUCAUAAUUCAAUUAUUUUGAAGAUGUGAACUGCAUUGCAAUUUACUUAUUUAGAUUGAAUCUAACAUCAUUUAGGCUCAUGGUUUUCAAGUGGAUUUUUAAAAAUCUAUGAAGUUUUAUUUACCAUUUACCUAUGGAGUUUUAUUUGAUACACAGAUGUUUAAGACCUAUCGUAGCCUUGCAGAAUCUCUUCACUUGGUAUUUCUGAUAUAUUCUUGGUAUUUUUUUUAACUAUACACCUGGUAUUUUCAUGGUAUAUUAUAUGUCAGGAUUAUGGUAUUUUAAAUCUGAAGAUUUUUUGGUAAAGAUAAUGUUCAUCCAUUUUUAUAAAUUAGAUAUAAUAUCCACUUUUCCUUGAAAAUACAGUUAAUCAUUAUAUUCAUAGAUAUUUUGUCUAAAUUUUUUUUGGAUUGACUUUUAUCUUGUUUUACACAGACACAAAUUCCCUUUGCAGUUGCAUUAUUCUUGUAGAAACUCUCAUGGGAUCUCUCACCUUUGAAAAUUGCAGGCAUUCCCCUUCAAGAAGCCUGAUCUCCAGACCCUAAAACAACUGAUAUUUGCCAUUGACGCCCCACGGAUGGUUCAGGUGGUUUUACAGGAACCACACUAACAAAGUCCUCUGGAGACCCUUUCUUGGAUCUCGCUCCACCUUCUCAGGAGGUUUAUGAUCACCUCAGAGUUGUUCAGCAAUCAGUGACUUUCACCUUGAACAAAAAGGGGACUGACAAUGUUGAACUUUUCCUGAGUCUUGUGCUCCCUGGAAGUUGCAACAAUUACAAAAUCCCCCACCCCACCACCCCACUCCUUUGUGUCCCAGGAGGCUCACUACAGAGGACCACACUGCCCUUGCAUAUUCCAAGACAGACUCAUCUCCAUCCUUGCUCAUGACUCCCAUAGGACUCGCAGAUGGCUCCCUUAGUAACCUGCUUGCAUAAAACCCUUGGUCCCCUUCCUUUUCUUUGAGGACGUUCUUAUUAACGAUCAUUCUCCUUAUAGUAGCCUGAAUAAAAUCAUAUAUUUAAUUGUC